rnacentral:tRNA from 1 species
AGGGUAAUAGUUAAAUAUAACAUUUGAAUUGCACUCAAAAAGUAUUGAAUUUUUCAAUUUACCUUA